CUGCCUCCAGUGUUUCCCCAUCUGACUCUCUGCCGUGUUUCCCUCGUCUCUCCUACUGAAACCCAGAAUCCUCCGAGUUCUCAGGCGAGUUGGACGGAGCUGCAGCAGUUAAUGAGUUCAGUGGAGCCCGGAAGGUUCUGGAAGCUCUCCAUGGGACGUUCCCGUAAACAUCUCUGAUGCUUCAAACCAAAGGACUGAAUAAACGGAUCAUCACUCAGCUCAGACCUGCAGACGGUGUGAUGGUGAAUUCAGGUCUGGAUGAACGGCUCCGUCGGCACGGCAACCCUCAGCUGGCAGCAUCAGAUAUGAAUCAUGGAGGAAUGAGAUGCUGCAGCUGAGCAGAGCGCCACAAACAGAACAGAGAGUCUGAUGCUGUGACUGGACCCGGCUGGCGGUCUGACCUGAUGGAGUUAACCAGUUGGAACCGGUUCCAGUUUGGGACCGGUUCCAGUUUGGGACCGGUUCCAGUGUCUGUCCAUCAGGAAGCCUUCAGUCCAGAGGAUCUGUGGUUCUGAGCUUCAGGCUGAUCGUCUCUCAGCUUCUGGGACGAAACAGAGAAAAUAAAAGCCGACGUUCCUAAUA